rnacentral:rRNA from 1 species
AGAGUUUGAUCCUGGCUCAGGAUGAACGCUGGCGGCGUGCCUAACACAUGCAAGUCGAACGAAGCGCUUAUCUUAGAUUCUUCGGAUGAAGAGAUAUUUGACUGAGUGGCGGACGGGUGAGUAACGCGUGGGUAACCUGCCUCAUACAGGGGGAUAACAGUUAGAAAUGACUGCUAAUACCGCAUAAGCGCACGGAACCGCAUGGUUCAGUGUGAAAAGCCGAGACGGUAUGAGAUGGACCCGCGUCUGAUUAGGUAGUUGGUGAGGUAACGGCCCACCAAGCCGACGAUCAGUAGCCGACCUGAGAGGGUGACCGGCCACAUUGGGACUGAGACACGGCCCAAACUCCUACGGGAGGCAGCAGUGGGGAAUAUUGCACAAUGGGGGAAACCCUGAUGCAGCGACGCCGCGUGAAGGAAGAAGUAUUUCGGUAUGUAAACUUCUAUCAGCAGGGAAGAAAAUGACGGUACCUGACUAAGAAGCCCCGGCUAACUACGUGCCAGCAGCCGCGGU